rnacentral:rRNA from 1 species
UGGGGAAUAUUGGACAAUGGGCGCAAGCCUGAUCCAGCCAUGCCGCGUGAGUGAUGAAGGCCUUAGGGUUGUAAAGCUCUUUCGCCGGUGAAGAUAAUGACGGUAACCGGAGAAGAAGCCCCGGCUAACUUCGUGCCAGCAGCCGCGGUAAUACGAAGGGGGCUAGCGUUGCUCGGAAUCACUGGGCGUAAAGCGCACGUAGGCGGAUCGUUAAGUCAGGGGUGAAAUCCUGGAGCUCAACUCCAGAACUGCCCUUGAUACUGGCGAUCUCGAGUUCGAGAGAGGUUGGUGGAACUCCGAGUGUAGAGGUGAAAUUCGUAGAUAUUCGGAAGAACACCAGUGGCGAAGGCGGCCAACUGGCUCGAUACUGACGCUGAGGUGCGAAAGCGUGGGGAGCAAAACAGGAUUAGAUACCCUGGUAGUCCACGCCGUAAACGAUGGAUGCUAGCCGUUGGGGGGUUUACCUCUCAGUGGCGCAGCUAACGCCUUAAGCAUCCCGCCUGGGGAGUACGGUCGCAAGAUUAAAACUCAAAGGAAUUGACGGGGUCAUAGCUG